CCCAAUGACUCCGUUCGAACCACCAAAUUCCCAAACACAAAACGCACCGUUCCGAGAGGGAAGCUUAGAAUGAGGAUUAUAACAAUCGAAAUCCCUAAUUUCCCUUUCACCAGACUGUAGCUUUUGCUCAUCGCUUUGAAUCCGUAAGAAUCUUCGAGAACGGAGACGACGUUCGAGAGCUGCCAGAUCGCCGUCAGGUAGAAGGCGCCGGCGAGGUAUAUGAUCUGGAUGAUGUAGAGAAGGAUGAUGACGCCGGCGCCGACCGAGCCGAAGAUGAGGAUGAUGAGGAAGAAGAGGAAGGAGAUGGCGAGGACGCUGGCGAUUGAGUAGCCGAUGAAGGAGAUGAACACGCAGAGGAAUGUGAGGAGGAGCCGUUUCCAGACCUUAGGAACGACGCUCAUCACUGGCUUGUAGGUGACGUCGCGGCCGGUGUAGAUCGACGCGACGGUGUAGACGACGGCGGAGGUGGAGAGAAGCGAGAGGAUGAUGAAGAUAACCAGGAAUAGAUCGGAGAUCUCCAUGUGAGCCAAGAACAAAAAGGAGAGGGGAAGAAUCAGAGCUAGAGUGAUUUGAGAGAAAAUCCUUCUCCAUGUGAAAAUUAAUUUGGCGGUUUCUCUGAAAAUUCCAUAGGUUCCGAGAAAUUGCAUCUCUUCUUGUUCGACAUCCAUGAUUAGGUGAUGAAGAAGAUGGGAGAAUUUGCAGAGGAACGAAGGAUUUUUGGAUGAUGGGAAGGAUUAAUAAGGAAAAAUUGGUCUUCUGAAUGCUUUUGAAUUGAGUUUGAAAAGUCUUUGUUUGGAAUGGACCAAAGAAAAACAAAAGCAAAACCAAUUGGCUUUAACAAUAAUUAAUAUAAAAAUAGUAAACUCUUAACUAUAUUUAUAGAGAAUUACAAUAUAAAUAGACAUUUUGAUUCC